AAUUCAUCACUCCAUGAAAAUCAUGCAUGUGAAGAUUCGCAAUGGAUACAAGGGGAUAGAUAGAUAGCCUCUCCUCAAGAGUAGCUCCUAGCCAAUCAAAACAGGGAUUCAGAUAUUCCCGAAGGUGAAGGAGAUCAAGAACGGCCGAGCUGAAGGAGAAGGAGAUCAAGAACGGCCGUCUCGCCAUGUUCUCGAUGUUCGGGUUCUUUGUUCAGGCCAUUGUCACUGGAAAGGGUCCAUUGGAGAACCUGGCUGACCACCUUGCAGAUCCAGUGAACAACAACGCUUGGGCCUAUGCCACCAACUUUGUGCCCGGAAAGUGAUUCUUCUUUCCUUUCUUGUUUUUGGUGUCGUUUUGUGAUAAGGGUUUGUGAGAGCGAUGGAGUUGUGUGGGUUGUGUAGUGAUGGUCUUGCAUUUUUAUUUUUUUAUUUUUGAACAUUCCAAUUAAUGAUGUAAAUUUGGAGGAUUCUUGAGAGCUUCUAAUAUUUAACCUAGAUUUUGGGUAAUAAGAUAUUUUCGUUUUUUUCAUAUUUUUCUUAGUCCUUUUUUGGCUGAAUUUGUCACAAAUUCAUUGAAAACUUCACUACAGUUAUGUUUAAAAAGACAAAUAAUUGUGCCUUAAGAACGGAUGAAUUGAGAGAGCACAGUAUUUUGGGUUGAGCCAAAGCAUAUGGGAAAGUUAUUUUCCAUGGUAUUGAUUGGGAAGAUUAAAAUCGCUCCCAUAUGAAUGUGGGGCACUUUUUUAUCUGAAAGGAAAAAAAUAUCCCACUGGAAUAUACCAUUUCUUGAAGUUUGUCUUUGGUGCAUUCGGAAACAAACUUCAUUAGUGAAGGAGUUUUUUGCUGGAGCCAUUUGUUCUUCUUCGAACUUGGGUUUGAUACUUCUUGUACCCGGAAUAAUCCAUAUCUAGCACAGGAAAGUGUGUUCACUGAGUGUGAAGGUUUUGUCGGAAUCUCUUUCAUCGCAUCCAUCCAAUGGCAAUACCGGACAGCAGAGGUUUGCCAUUUCCUCUGUUUGGAAUCUCUAUCAAACUUUUUGAUCGAUUUUCCAACAUUUGAUGAAUUUUUAUCUUUGGAACUUCCAAGAAACAAGUGCUUCCAUGUAGCAGGCCAAUGUUCUCCAUUAGAAAUGCUCAUUUUUUAGGAAUUAAAUCCUUAGUGAACUAUCUGACUUCCUCAAAUGAGUUGCAGGGAUCUUACUCCUAAGUAUCACUACCAAGAUAAAAAAUACAUGACAAGAAGUUAAGCUGGUUUCCAAUCAACUAGGUUCGGACUAAUUUGGCCUCCCACUAUUUUCAUUUAAAGUUUUAAAACUAACAAUCAAAUUGAACCCCUAAAGAUAGUCAGAUUUCAUAUGACAGUUAUACACAAGAUAAAGGAAUUACAAAGCUCUUCUUAUUCUUUGCUUUCAAUUUUAAUAAUGAAUUGGGGUUUUCAAAGAAUCAUCCCUAAAAUAUUGAGAUCCAUAAUUUAACACUUUCCUUUUCUUUUAUUGAACUUUUAAAACACUUGUGUUCAUAAAUUGUGGGAGAGACAACUUCCUAUUUUUUUACACUGGGGCCAUCUUCCUAUUUGCCCUCUCCAUCACAACAACACGUCAAAACAAGAGUGGUUCCAAGCGGUGAUCCCAAACAUGAAUAUUGCGAUGCUUGCAAACAUUAAUAUGAUAUUGUUAUUCCAAAGGGAAGGCUUUCUACGUGACCCACCCAUAUAUAUAGUAGAUGUGAUCCCUAGUCUCAGCCAUCAGAUCUAAGUAGAUAACUUAGAGUCACAAUGUCACAAAUUGAUUUUUAAUUGCCAGAUCUUGAUCGGAUGGCUCAUAGUUUUUUAUUUUAAAAUUUUCUUCUAUAAAUCAGUUUAAAGGAAAAUCUGGGGCAUGCAUAGAUAUGACAGAGGCGCAUAUGAUAAAAAUAAUAAUAAAAUCUUUUCGAUGAUAAAAAAUUACCAAAAUACCCCUAAAAAUUGUAGGGGCAUUUUGGUUAUCUAUUUUUAUAGAAAAUAUUUUUUUUUUAUUUUUCCUAGGUUUGCCCUAUUUUUAUGCUAGGACGCCCAAAAUUUCAUCUAAAAAUAUUUGGGUAUGAAUAAUUAUAGCCAUUCGAUUCAGAUCGAACUGCUAAAAAUUGGGGUAAUAUACAACAUGUAUGUUGUUGGGGCCAUAUAACACCAAUAAGUACUAGAAAUUGGUGUUUCAAAAGACCAGUACUUUGGGAUAAUUUAAUAGACUUCCCUAAUAAAUAAUUGGGAACACAUAAUUUUUUAUUAUCAACCUCAAAAUUUGCCUAAACUUAGUUCAAAAUAGCCCACUAUCUUUGCCUGUACCAAUCUUUUAAGGGAUUGUAUACAAUGAGAUCAUUUAUCUUUGAUACGAGGAGGAUGCAAUUACUUAUAAGCAUCUUUGAUAUGAGGAGGUUACAAUUAUUUAUAACCAUCUGACAUAAAAUUCGAUAGCUUAGGUGUGUCACAAAUCUUGAGGAAUUUUCUUUUAAAGUUUGAGCUUGGUCAAUAAAAUAAAUACGACCAUCCAAAUUCACAUCCAAUAGUCAAAAUUAAUUUUGACCAUCGUGUACCAAAGAUAAAUGGUCUCAUUGUAUACUUUCUCAUCUUUUAAAAUUGCCGACCCACCACCCUGACCACUUAGCCUUGAGUCCAUUCAUAAAAAGUAAAUUAAUUCCAAAAUCCCUCCGGAAUGGAUUUUGAAGUGUGGACUCACUACAAUAAAUGCUUCCUCAGUCUAUCCAUAAAAUUUUGGCCACUUCCUCCAUAUAAUUUCCCCAUCAAAAUAAGUAAAACCUCACCUCAAAACUCAUGAAAAAUUGUAGUUCUAGCAUUGGAGAACCUUUGAAUGUAUCAUCUCGACCUUGACCAUUACAGUUCUGAAAAGAAAUUAAUUUCAACCCUUUAGUAUGUUAUAACAUAUUAUCUAGACCAUCAGUUUCAAGUAUUCAUGGAUAUGCAAGAUUUUUACCAAUUUACAAGGUAUAAAUUUCAUAUCAUCGGUAAAAACUGAUUUUAGAGCCAUCAUAGAGAUUUAUGACUCCAAAAUAUCCGGACGAGGUUUCAAGGUGAGGCUUUAUUUUUAUUGUUUUUAUGCACUAGCCCUUAUAACUUAUAAACCACUCAACGGUAUUUGUUAACAAGGUUUUGGCCCCUGGCACAUAAGCGGAAUUCAAAACAUAUAUGGUGCAGCUAGAAACUCGUAUUGUAUCUUGUUCUGUUCAUACGUACUCCACUCACCGCACAUCAAUUUCACAUCAAGCCACGAAAAAAAACAAAGAACAAAUAGACUGAUGAAUUUCACUUGGAGCCACGGAAAACUAAAACAGAAAAAGGAGAAAAGAAAAGAAAAAUAUGUGUACAAGCCAUCACUACAUGAAAAAUCACAUCUGGAGGUAACUGUGGGGUCUGUCGAGGAGAUGUGACACCCACUCUACCCCAGUGGCAGCUUCGAUCCCUUGGGCCUGGCCGAGGACCCUGAGGCCUUUGCCGAGCUGAAGGUGAAGGAGAUCAAGAACGGCCGGCUUGCCAUGUUCUCGAUGUUCGGGUUCUUUGUUCAGGCCAUUGUCACUGGAAAAGGUCCAUUGGAGAACCUGACUGACCACAUUGCAGACCCAGUGAACAACAAUGCUUGGGCCUAUCUUUGUUACCGGAAAGUGACUCUUCUUCCAUUUCUUGGUGUUGUUUUGUGAAAAGGGUUUGUAAGAGUGAUCGAAUUGUGGGUUGUGUAGUGAUGGUCUUGUAUUCUUGUCCCUUUUUUUUUGACAUUCCAAUGAAUCAUAUAAAUUUGAAGGAUUCUUGAGAGCUUCUAAUGUUUAACAUGCAUUUUGGUUAGUAAGACAUUUUACUUUUUUUUACCAUAUGUUUCAUAGUCUUCUUUUGGCUGAAUUUGUCACCAAUUCAUUGAAAAUUUCACUAUGAUUUAUAUUUAAAAGGAUGAACAACUCUGGCUUAAUUACGGAUGAAUUGAGAGGGCACAGUAUUUUGGGUUGAGCCAAAGCACAUGGGAAAGUUAUUUCUCAUGAUAUUGAUCGGGAAAAUUAAAACUGCUCCCAUAUGAACGCGGGGGCACUUUUUAAUCUGAACGAAAAAAAAAAAAAUGCCCCCAUUAGAAUACACCAUUUCUCAUGGUUGUUUUUGGUGCAUUCAGAAGCAAAAUUUAUUUAUCAGUGAAGGAAGUUUUUGCUGGAGCCAUUUGUUCUUGUUCCAAGUAGGGUAUAAUACUACUUGUACCCAAAAUAAUCGAUGUCUAGCAAAGGAAUAUGUGUUCACUGAGUGUGAAGGUUUUUUCGGAAUCUCCGUGUCACUGAAUCCAUCCAAUGGCCUUAGCGGACAGCAGAGGUGAGGUGUGCCAUUUCCUCUGUUUGAUCUAUUUUCCAACAUUUGAUGGAUUUUUAUCUCUGAAACUUCCAAGAAAACAAGUUCUUCCAAGUAGCAGGCCAUUGUUCUCCAUUAGAUAUGGUUAUUAUUUAGGAAUUAAAUCCUUAGUUAACUAUUUGACUUCCUCAUAUGAGUUGCAGGGAUCCUACACCCACUUAUCGUGACCAAUAUAAAAAAUGCAUGACAACGGUCCCAAUCAACUAGGUUCAGACCAGUUUGGCCUCUCACUAUUAUCAUUUAAAGUCUUAAACCAAUAAUCAAAUUGAACCCUGAAAGUACAGCCAGAUUUCAUAAUGACAGUUUUACAAAAGAUAAAGGGAUUACAAAGGUCUUCUUAUGCUUUGCUUUUUAUUUUAAAAAGGAAAAUUGUUUCAUGCGGGCUCGACUGUAUUUCUAUAAUAUGCGUCCAGAGGCAUGAAGCAUCCAUCUUAAAGAUGGAUGCAAAUUGGUGGUCCAUCUAACUACAUGUGUAACUAACGAUCCAAUUAUUUUCUUGACAUAUUAUUAUUUUUAAUUUUUAAUUUUAUUUUAUUUUUCAUAUUCAUGAUCUCCAUGUUAAAUAUUAUAUAUUUUUUAAAAAUUAGGAUCAAAUUAUAUCUAAAAAAUAUAUUUAUUGCCAAGCUCGCAUUUCUACAAUAUGCAGGCUCGCCACGUAGAAACCUUGUCCUAUUAAAAAUGAAUGGGGGAUUUUAAAGAAUCAUCCCUAAAAUAUUGAGAUCCAUGAUUUAACACUUUCACCUUUCUUUUGAUAAAUUUUUUUAAGUCUUCUAAAGCACUUGUGUUCAUAAAUUGUGCGAAGGACAACUUCCUAUUUGGCUUCUUCAUCAGAACAACACGUCAAAACAAGAGUGAUUCCUGAGAGUUUAGUGAGAUAUUGGUGCUCCAAAACAUUUUCAUAUGAUAUUGUUAUUCCAAAGCACCAGUAACUGCUACAUAUUGGUGUUUCAAAAGACUGGUACCUUUUUUUUUUUCUGCUUUGACGAAGGGAAAAUUACACGUGUAUCCAUUAAGUGUUGUUACGAUUUUACCUAAAGUUUUAUCUUAUUAUAUUUACAAUUUUGGAUAUUACAUAUAUACACGUUCUUAGGAGCCGUGAAUAUUUUUUCUAAAAUUGCCCAAUUUUUUAAUCUACAAGAUCCGAAAUAAACAAAAAAUAAAACUUCAAGGUCUGAAAAUUUCCUUAUUUUCAAAUAUGUGGGAUCCGAAAUAAAAUAAAAUAAAAAAUCCGAUCCUUCAAAGUCCAAAAUUUCCCUAUUUUCAGAGCUUUAGGACCCAAAAUAUAAAACAUUCGGGCCUUCAAUAUCCGCAAACUAUUUCAGACCUUAAUGUUUUGAAAUGGUGUAUCGACAAUUUUGAUUGUUGAGUUUUCAAAUUUUUUACGAGAGUAAAUUGUGGAUUUUUUAAAAGAGCGAAGAUUGGAAAAAGUUUGCGCUAAUGUUUUUUUUUGGAAUCUAAAAUAUUUGUGGAGUGAUUUUACACAUCUCAUUGGUUGAGUUUCAUUUGUUACUUUUAAAUUUUGGGAAAAAAAAUCCGACUCCAAAAGUGUAGAUGUUUUAUUUUGUAAUUUUUGGAUUUUGAAAAAUCUGAAAAUAAAAGAAAAACUGGAUAUUGAAAAUCUGAAAAAUUCAAUCACAGGUAGUUCAUGUAAAAAAAAAAAAUUCGGCAUUUUGGAAAAUCCAAAAAAGGACAAUUUGGUAUUUUUAAAAAAUAUUGACAAAACAUUGUAGUAACGGAUAUAAAAUGGGUAGACUGGUAAUAACAAAACAAAUUAGGCGAAAUUCAAAUAACACAUUAAAUAAUGGAUUUAUGCGUAAUUUUCACUUUGAUAAACAAAAAAUAUAUGACUUGCUUAACACUUUUGAGAAUGGGUUAGGGUGGUGGUGGUAGCACCAUUUGUACCCUAGCUAAGAUAUAGGUUUCUAUUAUCAUUUAACGCAUUCAAAAACCACUAACGAUUUAAAAAACAGGUAGGGACUCGUCAUCCCCACUGAAUUACCUAAAAAAAAACAACAACAACAAAUUGUAUUCCAUAGUGAGUUAAACGUUUACAAGAUCAAUGCUAAUGCACUUAAAAGUGCAUCUCAAAUACUAGUAUUUUCCAACAACUAUAAAAAAUAUAUCACGGCAAAUAAAUUUUUACAUCAUAGCUUUUACAUUCAAAAUGCAAAAAUCUAUAAUCAAGGUUGUUCUCUUUGAAAUUUUGCUAAUAUUGAAAAUAUGAAACAAAAGUUAAUUCUUAAUUUUGGAUUUUCAAAUAUAUGGAAAACUAGAAAAGUCCUUAAUUUUGGAUUUGAGAUUUCGAAUACUUGAAACUUAAAAAAUAAAUUAAUUCCAAAAGUACUAGUUAUAGAUCCUGAUGGUCCCAAAUUUAAGCAAUUAGGUCAUUUUAAGAUAUGUUAAAAAAAAAAGAAAGAAUAUGAACAUAAUAACAGAAAAAUUUAAAUAUCAUAAAUUAUAGGGAAUAUAAAAGUAAAUCUCUCUAAAAUUUUAAACAAUUUUACUCCAUAUAUUUACUUAUUUUUUAUGUAAUAUUUCUCCGUAUCAACACUUUGUUUCCUUGGACACCACCCUAUGUGGCAUCCAACUCCUAAAUCCCCACACGCAAUAGGAUUCAAUCUCGCCAAGAUAGAAGAGGAUAGCAUAUCUGUGUGGAGAGCCCUACGUAGGGCCCCGCACUAGUUGCCAAAUCAGCAAUCAAUCAGCCAAUCAAAUGCGAGAUUAAAAUCCUGGGGGAUAAACGGAAGCCACUACAAACAUAUAUAAAAAAUGUAGAAUUACGGUGCACAUGAAAAAUCCACAAUAAAAAGUUAUUUUGAUAUUGAAAAAAGCAUCUCAACAUUGAGAUGUAUGAAAGCACUCGUUUUCAUAAAUUUUGUUAAAAGUGUUUGAAAGCACUUGGUUUCAUAAAUUGUGGGAGGCACAACUUCCUAUUGGGCCUUUUCAUAUCAAAACAAGAGUGGUUCCUUCCAUUGAUCAAAAACACCAAGAGUGGUUCCUGAGAGCAUCAAUUUUGUUUAGCGAGAUAUUGGUGCUCCAAAACAUUUGUAUGAUAUUGUUAUUCCAAAACACCUGUAAGUACUAGAUAUUGGUGUUUCAAAAGACUAUUACUUUUUUUUGACAAAGGAAAAAUUACACAUAUAUCCAUUAUUUUAAGUGCUAUUACAAUUUUACCUUAAAAUUUUCACUUAUGAUAUUCGUAAUUUUGGAUAUUUUCAUGUAUACCCAUUCUUAGGAGCUCGAAUGUUUUUUUUUUUUUCCAAAAUUGCCCUAUUUUUGGAUCUUUAGGAUCCAAAAUACAUAAAAAAUUUGAAACUUCAAGAUUUGAGAAAAAAAAAUCCGAACCUCCAAGUCCGAAAUUUGCCUAUUUUUGGAUCUUUGAGAACAUAAAUAUAAAACAUUUCGGACCUUCAAUAGCUGUAAACUAUUUCGGACCUUAAAGGUCCAAAAUUAUGUAUAGACAAUUUUGAGCAUUGAGUUUUCAUAUUUUUGACGGGAGUAAAUUGCAGAUUUUUGAAAAGAGAAAACAUUAAAAAAAGUUUGUGCUAACCCUUUUUUUUUUAUUAUUGGCUAAGAAUUCAAAUUAUUAUUUUGGGUAAUUAAUAUAAAUUAUUUGUGGAGUGAUUUUACACAUUUUAUUGGUGGAGUUUCAUUUGUCAAUUUUUUAUUUCGGAAAAAAAUUUCAGGCUUCGAAAUUGUAGAUUUUUUAUUUUGUAAUUUUUGGAUUUUGAAAAUCCAAAAAAAUCAACCAUAGCUCAUGCAAAAAAAAAUUUUGGAUCUUGAAAAUCCAAAAAAAGGCAAUUUGGUCAUCUUUAAGAAAUGUUGACAAAAUGUUGUAACAAUGGAUGUAAAUCGGCAAAGUAGUAAAAGGGAAAAUUUUAGGUGCAACUGUAGUAAGGCUUAAAAUAAUGGAUUUUGGUCCAAUUUUCCCAUUGUCAAACAUAAAAUAUAUGCUUUUGUUCUUUCAAACAACAAAUUGUACAGUAUAGGGAGUUAAAUGUUUACAAGAUCAAUGCUUAUGGUUUUAUAAAUGCAACUCUAAUACUGGUAUUUUCGAACAACUGUAAAAAUAUCUCACUGCAAAUAUAUUUUGGGAAAGGUUUCUAUGCUUCUCUUUCAACAUAGAACUUCUAUCCAACCCCUACCAUCCAGCCAUCUAAUUUUGAUCAUGAGAGCCACUCACCCUUUGAUCUUAGAUCCAACGCCUCAAAGUAUUUUAUUUUUAGUUUUUUUUAAUACAAAUUAUAUGAAUAUAAAAUUUGGUACAAUAUAGAAGUUAAAUCCUCCCCCUAUCAUCCAGCCAUCUAAUUUUGAUCAAGAGAGCCACUCACCGUUUGAUCUUAGAUCCGACGUCUCAAAGUAUUUUAUUUUUAGUUUUUUUUUAAUACAAACUGUAUGAAUAUGAAAUUUGGUAUGUGCCAUCGUCUCAUUGGGGUGCACCUAUAAAAAAUAUUAAAAAUAAUUUUUUGAUAAAAUAUAAUGACCAAAAUACCCCUUGAAACUUUCAAGGGUAUUUUGAUCAUUUUAUUUUAUUGAAAAUAUGUUUUUUUAUAUUUUUUUCUAGUGUGAGUUUAAUAGAAGAAUGGACAUCCAAAAUUUGGUGUCAAAAUAAUUUAUAGAAAAAAAAUUAAAAAUAAAGUAGUGUAGAGACAUGACAUUGUAAUUGGGGCAAUUUAGCCCUCUAUUCAGAACGGACAGUUGGAUAAGAGAGAGGAUAGAACUUCUAUGCUGUAGGGGAAGCAUAGAAAGUUUGCUCAUAUAUUUUUACAUCUUAGAAAGAUCAAGGUUGUUCUUUUUGAAAUUUUGCAAAUAUUGAAAAUGUGAAACUAAAAUUAAUUCUUAAUUAUGGAUUUUCAAAUAUAUGAAAAACUAGAAAAGAACUUAAUUUUGGAUUUGAAAUUUUGAAUAUUUGAAAGUAAAAAAUGAAUUAUUCCCAAAAGUGAUAGUUUUAGAUCAUGAAGUUCCCAAAAUUAGGCAAUUUAGUCAUUUUUAAAAAGGGUAUAUAUAUAUAUAUAUAUAUAUAUGGAAAAGGCUUCUGUGAGCUAAUGGACUCAAAAGAAAAAAUAGUCCAACGGCCCAAAUUGAAUCUGGGCCGAUCUAACAAUCGCGGAUGCCCGAUAGUGUUUGAAUUUUAAUUUUUUUUUCUACAAAUCCAAAUCACUUAAAAUUUUAGAUGUGUAUUGAAUAAAAAAAAAAAAAAAGGUGAAUAUUUGAAAAAUAUUAAAAAAUAUUUUAUAUGAAAAAUGAUCAAAAUACCCCUAUAAAUUUCCGAGGAUAUUUUGAUCAUUUUUAAUUUUUUGAAUUAUUUUUUUUAUAUUUUUAUUAGGUGUGCCUUGAUGAGAAGAACACACGCCUAAAAUUUCAAGUGAUUUGGAUUUGUAAAAAGAAAAUUCAAAUUUAAAGACUAUUGAACAUCUGUGAGCAUCAAAUCGGCCACAGAAUGGCCCAAAUUCAAUCUGGGCCAUUCUCGUAUGGGCGUAUGGGAUAAUCUAAACUUCACAACCCUUCCAAUUAUAAAAGUUAAAGAUAGAGAGUUGUGAAGGGCGGAUUUACUAAUUUUGUGGUCUAUUUUUUUUAAAAAGUUACUUUUUGUGAUAUCUUCAUCAUUAAGUAAGGGCAAUUUUGUAAAUAUUACUGGCAAUUUUGUAAAUAUUACUACUAGACAAGGGUUACUUUUCUCAUCUUCAUAAAGGGUAACGUUGAAAUUUUUACUAAAAGACAAGAGCACUCUACAAAUAAAAUUCCAAGACAAUAACUUUCAAAAUGCCGUUGUACUUUUAUAAAACUUUCAAAUUUGCCCGUGUUUAAUGGGUAAGUUACCCAUUAAAAUAGGUUUUUAAAUAAAAAAUAAUGAUCUUUUUGAUAAAUACGCCCAUCAUAACCUCUUCUAACUUUAAAAAACUAUGUUAGGGCCAUUUAUUUGAUCCAAAAUUUCAAAUAUACACCCUUUUCAUUCUAAUGAAGAAUCACAAAAAAGAAAAUUUGAAAAUGCAACCUAGAAAGUAUUUUUUUAGCCUAAUUAACAUAGGCUGUCCAUUUUGAUAAGAUGUUUAGAUCUAUGCCUUAGAAGAAUUUUUCUUUUCCAAUUUUUUUAGAUGGCUUUAUUAUCAUUAGAUAAACAAUGUUUAAAAGGAAAAAAAAUGAUUUUGAGUUUGUAGAGGCUAAGAUCUUGAAAUUCACCAAAUGAAUGGUCUAGAUUUGUUGUUGGAGGGGACUCAUUUUGACCAUAUCUAGGGUUCAAAUUGAAAUUUUCUUUUUUUUGGGAUUGAUUAUUUAGAUGAAGGGAGUGUGCGUGCAAAAUUGAUUAUCUAUAUAUAUAUAUAUAUAUAUAUAUAUAUAGUAAGGUAACUUAAUUNNNNNNNNNNNNNNNNNNNNGUGCCGGUAAGCACUCAAUCCCAGUUCGGAGGCGCUGUCCAUGGGAACGGUAGAGUGAGCAUGAGGAAGAGCGCGAGAAAGCCCUCAGUGUCCUCAGGGAGCCCGUGGUAUGGUCCUGAUAGAGUCAAGUACCUCGGCCCGUUCUCUGGGGAGUCCCCAUCCUACCUCACCGGAGAGUUCCCCGGUGACUACGGGUGGGACACCGCCGGCCUCUCUGCCGACCCCGAGACCUUUGCCAAGAACAGAGAGCUCGAGGUAAUCCACUGUAGGUGGGCCAUGCUCGGUGCUCUGGGGUGUGUCUUCCCAGAGCUCCUCUCUCGCAAUGGCGUCAAGUUCGGCGAGGCCGUGUGGUUCAAGGCUGGUGCUCAAAUCUUUAGUGAGGGUGGCCUUGACUACUUGGGGAACCCAAGCCUCGUGCAUGCUCAGAGCAUCUUGGCUAUCUGGGCCGCUCAGGUGAUCCUCAUGGGUGCUGUCGAGGGCUACCGUGUUGCUGGUGGCCCAUUGGGUGAGGUGACCGACCCACUCUACCCCGGUGGCAGCUUCGACCCCUUGGGCCUGGCCGAGGACCCUGAGGCCUUUGCAGAGCUGAAGGUGAAGGAGAUCAAGAACGGACGGCUCGCCAUGUUCUCGAUGUUUGGGUUCUUUGUUCAGGCCAUUGUUACAGGGAAGGGUCCAUUGGAGAACUUGGCUGACCACCUUGCUGACCCAGUGAACAACAACGCUUGGGCCUAUGCCACCAACUUUGUGCCCGGAAAGUGAACCACGAGUGAAUGCAUGUUCGAAUGUAACCUGAUU
rnacentral:lncRNA from 1 species